rnacentral:rRNA from 1 species
GAUGAACGCUGGCGGCGUGCCUAAUACAUGCAAGUCGAGCGAACAGACGAGGAGCUUGCUCCUCUGACGUUAGCGGCGGACGGGUGAGUAACACGUGGAUAACCUACCUAUAAGACUGGGAUAACUUCGGGAAACCGGAGCUAAUACCGGAUAAUAUAUUGAACCGCAUGGUUCAAUAGUGAAAGACGGUUUUGCUGUCACUUAUAGAUGGAUCCGCGCCGCAUUAGCUAGUUGGUAAGGUAACGGCUUACCAAGGCGACGAUGCGUAGCCGACCUGAGAGGGUGAUCGGCCACACUGGAACUGAGGCACGGUCAAGACUCCUACGGGAGGCAGCAGUAGGGAAUCUUCCGCAAUGGGCGAAAGCCUGACGGAGCAACGCCGCGUGAGUGAUGAAGGUCUUCGGAUCGUAAAACUCUGUUAUUAGGGAAGAACAAAUGUGUAAGUAACUAUGCACGUCUUGACGGUACCUAAUCAGAAAGCCACGGCUAACUACGUG